GGCGGCAGGCUUACACAUGCAAGUCGAGCGCCCCGCAAGGGGAGCGGCAGACGGGAGAGUAACACGUGGGAACGUACCCUUCGGUUCGGAACAACCCAGGGAAACUUGGGCUAAUACCGGAUACGUCCGUAAGGAGAAAGAUUCAUCGCCGAGGGAUCGGCCCGCGUCUGAUUAGCUUGUUGGUGAGGUAACGGCUCACCAAGGCGACGAUCAGUAGCUGGUCUGAGAGGAUGAUCAGCCUCACUGGGACUGAGACACGGCCCAGACUCCUACGGGAGGCAGCAGUGGGGAAUAUUGGACAAUGGGCGCAAGCCUGAUCCAGCCAUGCCGCGUGGGUGAUGAAGGCCCUAGGGUUGUAAAGCCCUUUCGGCGGGGAAGAUAAUGACGGUACCCGCAGAAGAAGCCCCGGCUAACUUCGUGCCAGCAGCCGCGGUAAUACGAAGGGGGCUAGCGUUGCUCGGAAUCACUGGGCGUAAAGCGCACGUAGGCGGCUUCUUAAGUCAGGGGUGAAAUCCUGGAGCUCAACUCCAGAACUGCCUUUGAUACUGGGAAGCUUGAGUCCGGGAGAGGUGAGUGGAACUGC
rnacentral:rRNA from 1 species